AUGUGGAAAAAAAAAGAAAAAAAAUGGAAAUUAAGUGUAAAUAUAAAUAUAUAUAUUUAUAUAUUAAAUAGUUUUAUUAAAUUAAUUAAAGAAAAGAAAGAAAAGAAAGGACAAAAAGAAGAAAAGGAGAAGAAAAUUUCAUUUUCUCUUUUCUUCUUCUUCUUCUCUUCCCUUCACCGCCAAGUUUGAAGACAUCCAAGUUCCCUUUAUUUUUUUUUCUUUUUCCUUCUUCAAUUUGCAGAGAACUUCUAAGAGAGAGUUUGGAAGAAGAAGAGAAAUUUUACUAGAAUUUUUAGGUUGAAGAAGAGGAGGAGAACUCAAGCAAAGUGUAUCAAUGGCUGAAUUUUAGUUCAUUCUGCACAUCACUGGUUUUUAAUUCGGUUUGAACUCUUCAAAAGGAAUUAAGAGGGCAGUUGGUUUUCACUCGAAAUCAGGAGGUCUCUGGUUUUUCUUGUAUUUCAGAGUGUAUCGGUGGAGUUAGAAUUUCUAUUUGGUAUGGUUGGAAAGCUUAUUCAAUUUACUACAACUUUCAUGAAGAAAUUGUAAACCAAAAACGACUAAAAAUUGGUUAAAUCGUAGGAACAAGUUAAAGAGGUCGUGUGCGCGCGAUUCUGGAAGUGGUUCUGUUUUGAGGGUUAUAUGUGUUUAUGCACGGGGAAUCAGAUUUAUAUGUCUUCAGGUAAGUUUUAGAGGAUCUCAAAAUGAAGAGUUUGAUAUAAAGAACACUCAUUUUGGUUAAGUAUUGAGAAAGUUAUAGUUCUUUGAAGUUUAUGUUAGAAAUCUGGAAAUUUUAGAGAAUUGUUGAAAUAGGAUUUUAUUUCUUAAGCUUUGUUUUCGUGAGCGUCAUCUUUGGUGCGACAUGUUAUGUAUAUCUUUAGGAAACCAGAAUGUUUAAGGUUUUAAUACUCGGUUGGGUUGUUGGCAGGCCGAGAAGAAUUAAACCGAGCUUAUAGACCAAGGAUCUAGCCCAAGACUGUGAGUGACAAAACCAACUUUGAAAUAUUUUCCAUAACUGUUAUUAUGAUUGAAUGCGAUAAAUGUUUAUUUACGAAGCCAUGAAAGGUAUUUGAAUUUCAUGACUAUUUUCAAGUAUACAUUUGGAGACUAGAUUUCUUAAAGAAAUUUAUGCUAGCACAUAGAUAUUAAAUGUUUGGAAAGUAUUUAAACCACAAUAUUUUAAGCAAAGCAUGAAUUAGUAUGAAGUUUUGUUUUAAGAACUACAAUUUUCCACGAAAGAGCUGAGUAAAGUUCGAGCUUUGUGUAAAAUUUAUAAGCAGGCAUGUUUUAAUAUUUUAUGAUGAUUUAUGAAAUUUUCAUUAACUACAUGACUGAGAUCUUGAGCCUGAGGCUAGAGAUUACCGUGUGCACAUGGUUAGAUUUCGUUGUUGACGUUGAGUGUACUCCGUAACAACGAUGCUGUCGUGAGUGCUGGGCGGGCCCCACUACGACAAAGACGAUGGGAGUGCUGGGCGGGCCCCACUACAUCGUAAUGCUUGUAAACGUUGUUGUACUAGGUGUACCCUACACAACGUAGAUUCGUCAUGUUAGUUAAAAUGCUUCGAUAUACUUGAUAUGCCUUGCUAGAUUUCAAUGAUGAACAUGCUGAGUAUUUAAGGAAGCUAUUCUUACUAUUACACAUUUACAUUUACGACUUGUAUAAACAGAUUUAUAUGUGUAAAGUUUUCACGUGCUCUUAUCUUUAAAUUCAUAGUUUUAAACUGAGUCACUCACUGAGCUCCAUAGCUCACCCUUUCCAAAAUGUUUUACCCAUUUUCCAGGUAGAGAUCGACUUCCCGGUGCCUGAUAGACUGCCUUAGUCUGCGGAAGCUUCAUUAUCGAUUGCCAGUACGUGUUUUGAGUUGGGCAUAAAGUCUGUUGUGUUGUGAUGUAUUCACACCCUUGUAUGUUAUAGAUACUCCACAGUUUGUAUAAGCUUUAGGAGCUGUAGUUGUGUAAAUUUUGUUGGUUAUAUUUUGAUUAAGGUGUCUUUAGGUUUACUCGUGAAAUUGGUAAAUUUUGAGGUACAUUUCAUGUAUGUGUUUGACUAGCUGUGUUUGACUAGCCUAGGAUCCGAUGUGUUUUGUGGCAUGUACAAUAGUUUAUAUACUAGAUUGGCAAGUUCAUCACAUGAAAAUUUUAAGCAGAGUCGACAGAUACAGGUACAGAAUAACGUUGUUCGUCGGCUUCACGCCAUCUUUCGGUCUAAGGUAGCAGGUAGUCCGGGAGGGGGUGUGACAAGAUCUCUUGGUCAUUUUUCCUUCAAGAUAAGAUUCACAAGGAGGUAAAGAGUUAUCUUCUAACUGAUUUAUAAGUCCACUCUUAACUAAUCUCACAAUCCUAUUGAGAUUUAUAUGACCAGGUCUCAAGUGCCAUAAAUAGGCACUUGAAGAAAAUUUUUGGCUUUUAUUGUGAGUUUCGACUAUUCUAAACAUUUCAAUAUUUAAGACAAAAUUUGCU